ensembl:lncRNA
GGUGCAGGCAUGCAGCUCGGGAGGCCGACCUCUCUCUGGCCAGAGGCCGUCCUACCUUGCGUACUUCAUGGUAAUGUGACUGGAGGUGCUUCGGCAAUCUGAAGCCUCCGUGAGUCAUGUGUCCCCCCAGCGGGUUUCCUUGCAGUGUGUCAGCCAGCGAUGCCAACAGUGUGUCGAGAGCCAGAGGAAGACUCACUGGUGAUCCUGGGUUACAUCACAGGGCCGGAGGAUGUUUGGAGGGCUGGUUGUCAGCUGCACAGAGAAAUAUGUUCAUUCCAGGCAACUUCAGCAAGCUUGGGAAUAACUUUUUGGUGUUAAGAAUGGAAGAGACCGUUCAUUACCAUUGAAGCAGGUACAUCCGGAACGAAGAGGUCAGAAGGCACUGCUCAGGGUGGGGGAAAACCUUUCACCAAAGCUCAUACAUUAGAGGACACCUCUGUGACACACCAAUGCCAACAAGUACAAGAACUUCAAGAAUAUGGGCUUUUCCUAAACAAAAGCAGAAGGAAAUGAGGCUGUGCUCUGGAAGCCUCCUUCAUGUGUGAUUGUGCCAUCUUUAUGCAAACAAGGCCUUACUCAUGCGGUUUCUCAGCAGUCCUCUGCUGGGAAGGCACUGGCUCCAUGCUUCAGCCUGCUGGGGACCAAGGCAGUGUGAUGGAAGAGGAGACAUGAGGAGCAAUGCUGACAGAUGGAUGUGUGUGGCUGGAGGCAGCCGGCGUCACGGGGCACGGGAGCUGCAGCCAAUUCAGGCACUGCCAGCACAAUGGGAUUUCCAAGGAAGCAUAACAAACUGCUCAUGAAGUAGAGUGUUCUCCUCAGCUUCUUUGCUUACUCAUGGUCUGUGAAAAAAAAAAAAAAAAAAAAAAAAAAAGCACACAACAAAAUCCAGAACAACCUACGUAAUCAUUGCUGUGCGUAAGGAGGCUUGCCCAGGCUUUGUUCUGGGGAAAAAAUCCCACUUUGGCAAAGGUGAGAGGAAAGGAAUUUCUAAUUGCUUUGGGCUUCUCUUUGUGAUUCAUUGUUUUUUCACAUACAAAAUGACUUCAUGUAGGUAAAAUUCACCACUGAUGCGCCAGUGGGAGGGCACUGGGAAACACUCAGCUGUGACAUGACGCUACCGAUGCCAUCCCCUUCCCGGCAGUGCGGUGGUUUGGGUAAUUCAGGUGAUUCAAGUAAAAAGCUGAAAGUUCUGCUGCACCUCCAAGAGAGAAUUCCCAAAUGAUUCUCACACAUACUUUAUUUCUCUAAUGGAAACAACCCAUGACACGGAAGGAAAACAUCGGCUAUUUUGGUCACGUGCUCCUAGUCCUCAUGUGAGGUGGGAGUCCCCCAGAAUGCUUAGCACCAUGUAAUUCACUCACAUGCUGUGUGCUUUCAAAGAGGUUGAUAACACAUCCCCGUGCUGACUUCACGCUCAAGUCACUGAAGUGAGAAACGGGAUGUGGUAUUCACCCAUUAACAGACUCAGUUAUCCAAUCCAUGUCUUGCAGCUUCCUUCGGCACCAGUGUGCUCCAUCUGGGAUGGACUUCCACAGCCAAGGUCCUUCUGGGGCAGCCUGACACCUAUCCCAAGUGAUGGCUGGUCUAUCUGAGCAAGGCCACCCCAAGGAACUUUGCCUUGUACUGCAGCUACAAGAGGUUGCCCCUCUGCUGUGAAAACCAGCAGCUAUGUUUGGCUCUGAUUGUGUCACGCAGUAUUCCUUACAAAGAAGAGGCUGCAUUCAACAUGAGAUAAUUAACAACCACCUUUUGGCUGUUAAAAGGGCUUUUGCUGACAGAAAGUCACUUUGUCACUGUGUGCAAAAAAGUGAUAUUGUGUAAAAGUUGCAUGGGAUAAAGAAACCAGGAGAUAUGUAACUAAUAUUGCAAGUAUUAGAGGCAACUGUGUUUUAGCUUUUAAAAAUGCAGUGUUCGGGGUUUUAUUUGUUUGUUUGCAUGUUUGUGGUGGGGCUUUUUUAAUCUGACGUUUUGUGCUCCAGUCUUCUCCAGCUCAAUCUGUAAGACACUGGAGAAAGAAAAAGCCUGUGUUUUCCCAACAAUAGACAUUACUUCUUC